AUUCAGACUUUAGUGCUUUAGAUCAGGCAUAAAAACAAGGUUAUAUAAAUAUAAACUAUACUGUGUGAUUCAUUGUGAUCGAUCAGAGGAGGAGCUGAUCCACAAGGAGGAGGAGCUACAGCAACAGGAGGAGGAGCUUAAACAGAAGGAGGAGGAGCUACAGCAACAGAAGGAGGAGCUUAAACAGAAUGAGGAGGAGCUACAACAGAAAGAGGAGGAGCUGCAACAUAAAAAGGAGGGGCUACAGCAGAAAGAGGAGGAGCUACAGCAGAAAGAGGAGGAGCUGCAACAUAAAGAGGAGGAGCGUGGGGUGAAAGAGGAGGAACUGAACAGGACAGAGGAGCAGCAGGAGGACAGAAGGGAGGACGAGUCUUUCUAUCUGUCUACAGCUGGUCUGAGAUCAGCCUUCAGCUCUGAGGAGGACAGGUGGACGGUGGAGCUGCAGAGAGAAAAACUGAGACAAGAAGAGGACGAACUGAAGGCUCGUCUGCGCUGCAGUCUGUGGACGCAGCAGGACAAUCUGACGGUGAGACGGCUGGAGACAGAGGACACUUUACUGGGACUGAGACACAGACUGGACCAGCUGGACUCCCUGCUCACACACACACACACACACACACACACACAGCUUUAAUUAAUCAGUACGGAGACACAUGAGACAUGUCUGUCCACUCUGAGGACAAACUGUCUCCUGCAGGUUCAUUCAGCUUUAAGAGGAAAACUCGAGCACUUUUUCAGCACUUUCAAAGUUUCUAAACCAAACAUUUCCAGACUCUUAAACAUUUUAUCAUCACAUCGACAUUUGACUGAAUAUCUGCAGAAAAUAAAGAGAAACAUUCACAUUUACAGGAUUUAUUGUUCUUUUCUCUGGGCAGAGGGAAAACAUGUAACAUUUGAGGUUUUAUACUUAAGAAAAAGAAAUGCUUUGAAUGUUAAUUGCAAAUAAAAAGUUAUUUUUGUGUCUUUAUUUUGCAUCAAACGAAACAGAUUUCAUAUCAAAACUGUCAACAGUGAAAUCAAAAUGUUUUUUCUGCAGGUAAAAAACACUGUGAUAAAAAU